rnacentral:lncRNA from 1 species
AUGGAGCAGGGCUGGGAAUGCAGCACUGCUGGGAAUGCAGCACUGCUGGGAGUGCAGCACUGCUGGGAAUGCAGCACUGCUGGGGAUGCAGCACUGCUGGGAGUGCAGCACUGCUGGGAGUGCAGCCCGAGCCGGGAGUGCAGCCCGCGCUGGCUGAGCGUGGAUGAAAUCCCGGUGGGAUGCAGCUGGAGCAGGAGCAGCGCAGGGCAGGCGGUGGCACACGGAGCUCCUGCAGGGAGCGGAACACAGCACGGAGCAGGAGGCCACAGGCAGCUUCCCACGGCACAGGGCAGCAGCAGCUCAGAGCAGGGUGCCAGGGGCAGAUCGCCCUGGCACAGCAGCAGCAGCACCAGCACAGAGCAGGGUGCCAGGGGCAGAUCUCCCUGGCAGGAGCAGCAGGAGCAGCACUGGCACAAACCCUGGCACAGAGCAGUGCAGCCCAGGGUGCCAGAGCCAGUUUCCUAUGGCACAGCAGGAGCAGCACAGAGCAGGAUGCCAGAGGUGGUUUUCCCUGGCACAGCAGGAGCAGCACCAGCACAGAGCAGCAUUUCAGAGCCAGCUCUCCCAAGGAUUUCAGAGCCAGCUCUCCCAAGGAUUUCAGAGCCAUCUUUCCCAAGGAUUUCAGAGCCAGCUUUCCCAGGAGCAGCCCCACACGGCUCUUGCACAGGGACAAUUCCUGUUUGCAGCUCUCUCCCCGUGUGCCCCUGGCAAAGGGCAGCCCUGGGGUGGUGCCAGCGGCCGUGCCCCAUCUCCAGGCCAGGCAGGAGCAGGCACCAGGGCUCUCUCCUGAGGGUGCCCAGAGAUUCUGGAAGGCUGCAGGGGGAACGUGACGAGGAUUCUGAGGAGCAUCAGUGAGAUUCCUGUGGUGGGUCGGGGAUUCCUCCUGGAGCCAGGUGCAGCUCCCACGGUCCCAGUUCACGGGAGGGCUCUGGGCACAGGCAGCACGCUGGGGACCUCAGACCCGGAGGAUUUCGGGGCUUGGGGCGGAAUGUGGCCGGUGGGACGCUCCACGGGGCUCUCGCAGCCUGCUCCUCCCCUCAGCAAGGAGCACCCCCGAUGGCAAAGAGGGAGAAAUCAGCUGGGGACCUGCAGGAGAGGGGCUGAUUUCCCAGAGGGAACGGAUCCGCCCGGGGGCUCCUGCAGCAGCUCCCACCCACCCCUGGGAAGGGGCUGCCGGGGGUGCAGCCCCGUCCCCGACAGCCCCUCGGAGCAGGACCAGGGCACGUCCUGGGACGGAGCUGCCGGGCUCGGCCGAGUCUUCUGCCAGCUGCUGCCUGCCCAGAGCGGGGCUGGGCCCCCCGA